GAGGAAUAUUGGUCAAUGGACGAGAGUCUGAACCAGCCAAGUAGCGUGAAGGAUGACUGCCCUAUGGGUUGUAAACUUCUUUUAUAUGGGAAUAAAGUGUUCCACGUGUGGGAUUUUGUAUGUACCAUAUGAAUAAGGAUCGGCUAACUCC
rnacentral:rRNA from 1 species